AUGGAGAUAAUGUAACCAAAGUCAACACAAGGUGUAUCAAACUCUGGUCACGUAAGAAAGUAAAUACAGAUUGUAUUUGAUAUCUAAAUUGACAGUAGCGAAUAGCAUAACUUCCAAGCAAGAUAUAUACAAACGUGUACAUACAUUAGAGAAAGAUCCCUGCAGCUUAUCGAUCACUUAAUUAGGAAGAUCCCAACAUUAACACUUUCAAGAUAUAUAUACCCAAAAACUGACUCACUGACCCAAGGGGAUCGACCCUUGUUAUGUACGUCCAACUCUAAAUGUCCCGUACGUCCAGAUUUAUCUCGAAUCAAGAAAUAACACCAUCAACUUCCAUGAGGUAAAUGCUGACUAUACACUUAGCUAUAAGCACUUAAGAGACAUGGCUUAAUUAAGGUUAAGGACCUUGUAGAUCAGUCUGAAAGCAUGACAUCAGUAUUGUCUCUUCCUCACCUUAAGGAUCAACAAUAGUCAUUGUCAAUAUUAUUAAUAUUUUGCAAGACCAAUCUAGCUUUCUGGACUUAUUGUUUUAUAUAUAUGAUCAGUGUACGGAUUCUCCCAAAAUUGAUUAUACCAUACAGUUGUGGUUCAGAAUAAGGCUUAUCUAAACUAAUUAAUCCUGGAGAAGUGGUCCCAAAAGAUUUCAAAAAUGUUAGAUACUUAUCCCAUUUACUUCUUAGAUAAUAUUUUUUUUAAAAGUUUAUUAGUACGUAGGUUAAAACAGGAUAUCUUUGGUUAGACUAUAAAAGUGGAUAAGCAAAAG
rnacentral:lncRNA from 1 species